rnacentral:lncRNA from 1 species
GGUGCAAAUGGUGGGGCACAUGAAAAGUCAUAUAUAAUGUAACUUCAACCAAGAAAUGUUCAUACAUCUCAUUUUGUAAAUAUCUUACCAUUAGACUUUUAAAAUUUAUAUAGGAAUCUUUGCUUGAUUUCCUUCAUAUAUGAGCUCUGCAAGCUGGGGAACAUAGUGCCCUAGUAAAUUACAUGAUUUGAUUUCGAUGAUAAUCGGUAUUUACAUGAUUUGAAUUUGAUACC